rnacentral:rRNA from 1 species
GUAAUCAAAUUGAAAAUAAUUAAAUAAAUGUCUGGUCCUUUCGUACUAAGACAUUUUAAGAGAUUAAAGUUAGAACCGACCUGGCUCACGCCGGUUGACUUCAGAUCAUGUAAG